CAGCGGGCAUUGAAAAUGUUGAUUGUUUUGUGGGACGUUCAAUGAAAUUCGUUGAAGGAAACAUUUCUUGCAAAAUUUAAUGGGCGAUGGGCAAUGGAAUUAAAAGUGAAAGAAUAAUGGAAUUAUUUCCUACAUAAUAGAGAUAAUAAACUACAACAUUUUUUCAAGUGAAAAUUUAUAUACAUAUGGAAAAAAGCAAAAGCUUGCGGAUCUUCAGGAUCUAUAAAAAGCUGAUCGAACAGACAUAUGUAUUCGCAAUCAUUUCUCAUCGAAACCAUUUACAGAAAUAACACUAUUAUCGUGAAAAUGUACACAUGUCACUGUCCUGUCAGCUAGUUUUUAUUUUUGACGCCUUUUUUCAAAUUUAUUUGAUAAGCGCACGGGCACACUGUUUGCUUUAGUUUAAUGAAAAAACAAUAACAAAAACGUAUCAAACACCUUUUUGUGAUAUCACGCUCUCUCUUAGCUCUCUCUGGACAAUGUAUAGCCUGGUUACAGUUAUCAGAAUGGCCGAAGAGAGCGCCAGUAAUGCGUCAUUGUCGCCUACUCUCUUUCGAUCUCGCAAAUGAUCUUGAAGUGGACCCAAAGAGAAAUUACACUAGAGUUUAAACGGAAAUGCUAAAAAUUAACGAAGCAGUUACUUGUUAGUAGAGAAAUACAUUCAUAUAUCGAAUCAUUCAUACAGCAGUGGUUAUGUGAUUAUGGGCUUAUCGAAAAGUGGCAUUCCUUUACAGUAAAUUGUCGUUCGUCAUGACUCAUGUGAUGGCAUGGCAAAUAUUGCUAUGUGUGAAAUUUGAGGGCCUCAUCAUGCAUAUCAUUUAUUGACGCAACUUAUCGGACUGUAUAGGGGUCUUUUUUUGGAUACUUAACCCAAAAAAAAGAAACGAUAAGAUUGGCAAAGCUCUGGAAAACAUCUUUAAAUUAGCUUUUUCUCCCAUUAAGGAAAUCCAUAUACUAAAGCUAGACUAGCGAUAGACUUCCAGGUUUCUUAUAAGCGCAACUGGAAUUUACAGCGGCGCAAUAGCUUGAGCAGGGCAAACGAAGAGAACAAAGGAGAACAGAGAAUUGAUGACCCCAAACAACAUAAACGGAAAGUAUACAAAGAGCGCAACUGGGGGGCGACACACAGAGAUGUGGGAAGUUUGAAUUUGUUGAGUGACAGGAGAAACAGAAAAGGGCUGCGUAUGUACAAUGGAUCUCCGACCACUGUGCGAGCAGCGAACCUAAAGCGCAGCUUGAACAUUCGCUAAGCGGCGCUCUCUGGCGAAGUUUCGGAGAGACAAAAUAAACAUAUGCAAAAGAAAUUACGAAAAUUCAAUACAAUAGCCGGAGCACUACGAAAUAUUAAAGCUGACACGCACACACACACAUGAAAACUCUCUCUUUCCCUGUCUCUCUCUGGCAAAUGAAAAUCUAAUCAACUAAAAGAUGUGGCUGUGUCAGGAGAGGGGGGGCGGUGGGCGGUCAUUUUAGCAUUUACUACUACUCGGAACAACUGCAAGAAGAAGCAGCUUUAAGAAGUACUUUGAGCUUUUAUCACGACUAUAAAUACGAUUUGCUUUUCGUAUGCAACGUGGCGAGAGGAAUGGAACGGGAACGUAAUGACAAAACAGACAGUUAACGGCAUUAAGUACUAGUAGUGGGAAGAGCGGAGAGGAGCGGCAGAGAGAAAGCAAAGGGCAUCCAACUGCAGUUGUUGGGCAACAACAAUCAUUGACAGCUAUGCAGGGGGCGUACACUUCUGUGAUUUGGGUUCAGAGAAUUAUUUUGGGAAUUAAUCAAGCACGCACUCCCACACAUACACACACACUCACACUUUCAAUUAGUGCCAUUGAGCUACUGCGUCAUUGUGUCCAUGGAAGACAAGACAGAGAGGAGCCGAGCCUGAGAGUGGUCUGCUCCUAUGGUAACUGUCUCUUGUUCGACCGCCACCGGCUAGCCAGCUCAUAAUUAUGAGCACACCAAAACACAUUACAUUACACCAGUGUGCCAUGUUUAUAAUUACCUUUGAACAGAUAAUCGUAUUCGUCUUCUCUUGCACCCAUUUUGCUGAAGUUUGUUUUAAUAUAAUUGGCUUCGUUUAAUUAUUAUUGGCAGCUCCGGUUGCGUUCCGUUUGAUUGGUGUGCGAGUCUUAAGUAAAAUCCAAUAAUCCUUGCGCGCCGCCGAUUUCUAUAUGCGUUUGUCGUAGCUCACACACUUUUUACACUUCAUUUGUAGGUGUAUUUGUAAAGAAAAAGAAAAA